CACGUAGGCACCAAGCGUUGUCCGGAUUUAUUGGGCGUAAAGAGCUCGUAGGCGGUUCGAUAAGUCGGGUGUGAAAACUUUGGGCUCAACCCAAAGCGUGCAUUCGAUACUGUUGUGACUAGAGUUCGGCAGGGGAGUGGGGAAUUCCUAGUGUAGCGGUGAAAUGCGCAGAUAUUAGGAGGAACACCGGUGGCGAAGGCGCCACUCUGGGCCGAAACUGACGCUGAGGAGCGAAAGCGUGGGUAGCAAACAGG
rnacentral:rRNA from 1 species